UAGCCAUAUCACGUUGAAACACCCCAGUUCUCGUCCGAUCAACGAAGUUAAGUAACGUACAGCCCCGUCAGUACCUACAUGGGUGAGCGCUUAGGAAUACCAUCUGCUGUAAG